CCAAAGGGGUGUUCCCCCUUCUUCCCCUAAAGGGGACGGAGUCCCCUAAAGGGGAAGAAGGGGUGUUCCCCUUCGGGGAGACGAAGGGGUUCCCCUUCGGGGAUGACGUAGGGGGUUCCCCUUUAGUUCCCCUUUAGGGGAAUAAGAAGAACUAAAGGGGACUGACGUCAUCCCCUAAAGGGGAACUAAAGGGGAACCAAAGGGGUGCCUGUCUUCUUUAGUUCCCCUUUAGGGGAUGAACCAAAGGGGGUGCCAAAGGGGUUCCCCUUUAGGGGAAGACAGGAGACGAUGACAAGGGGGUUCCCCUUGAGUUCCCCUUUAGGGGACGAAGUCAUCCCCGAAGGGGAACCCCUUCGUCUCCCCUUCGUUUUCACACUAAAGGGGAAGAAGGGGGGGUUCCCCUAAAGGGGAAAGCCAACAAACAACCUAGGCUGGAUCAUUGCCAACUUUAUUUUUUGAACAUGGGCCUAGGCCCGAGUAAAGCUGCUUAAUAUUUUUAUUUUGUUGAUGUGGAAUAAUUUUUAUUAAUAUACUACUAUAAUUUUAUUACGGGGCUUUUGCGUCUAUUUAUUAAUUAUUGAAUACAUUGGCGUAAUACUCUCUAUUUGAAAGGUUAUUUUAGUCAAAAAUAACGAACUAACUCCAGCGCUAGUCAUGAGAGUAGGGCCAAAGAACCGUGUUAAGCUAACGCGGUCGUUGGUCUUCAUCCCCCUCCGUCCCCUUUGGUUGUCCCCUAAGGGGAAACCUUUGGCAUCCCCGAAGGGGAACAUCCCCUAAAGUUCUUCCCCUAAAGGGGAACUUUAGUUCAUCCCCUAAAGGGGAACUAAAGGGGUUCCCCUUUAGUUCUUCUUCUUCCCCUUUAGGGGAAGAAGAAGAAGAAGAACAAGAAGGGGGAAAACAUCCCCCUCUGUUCUUCCCCUAAAGGGGAACUUUCGGGGUUCCCCUUUAGUUCCCCUUUAGGGGAUGACUGAUGACAAGGGGAAGACUUUGGUUCAUCCCCUUUAGUG
rnacentral:lncRNA from 1 species